GCCUAGAGAAGUCGAAAGAGACCUUGAAAAGCUAUUAGGGAAUAAAGGAGGUGCAGGGACUGUAUUUUAAGCACAAGUUCUAUAAGUAAGAGACUGGAAUUUUCUGAGAGUAUUUCAAUGUAUUUGUGCUGAGCCAAGCUCAGAUAUAGGAGCUUUUCAGGACCCUUCAACAGCAUUAGUAAUGUUGGAUAAUAUUCUACAUUUGCACGACAUUGCUGCAUGGUGCUUUGUGCCACUAAAAACUGCUUUUGUGUGCCUCACCAGUGUGUACCAAGUACAGCUCUGCAGUGUGGAUAUUUCCAGGUGGGUAUGGCUGCAUAUAUAUAUGGUCCAGUGAACACAAUCCAGUUUCAGACACAGAGGAAAAUGUUCUUUAUCCCAGAAAAAUCACAGGUAACAUGGGCCAGGUGUUUUCUGAGGGAUGUGGGCAGUCCCUGUCUGUGCUGUGAGACCAGGCAGUCCCAGCCCAGCUCCAGCUGGAAGCUGUAGCAUGGAGAGGUUGGCUGGACAAAACUGGAGGUGCAUCCAAGGUGCCCAGCAGAACUGCCUUCAGUGGUGGGAGCCUUGUGUGUUUGCACAGUACAUCCCCAAUUUAAGUCAAGUUAAAGAACUGAGAACCAUUCUGGCCACUAUAAUACAAACAGAAACAAAUUUUUCAAAUUUUGCAGAAUAAUGGAUUGAGAAUGUUGUCAUGCCUGCACUAUUACAGUUUUGAAUUUAUGAGGUUUUACUGCCCUUUUAUGGUAUUUCAUAUUUUUUAUAGUUAAAUCUAAAUAUGUAAUGCUAAUCAUACUUUAAAAUUCUUUUUCUCUUUUGGAGCAGUCAGUGUAGGCAUGGAGGAAUAAACUUCCCAUUCCUAGAUGACCCUUUGAAAGGAUUUUUAAAAUUAUAGCAAUUAUUACUUGAGUUUGACAAAAUCAAGAAGCAAUUAUUUUUUUAUUUGUGAGCAUAUAACAGAAAAAUAUAUUUGUGGAAUAGAGCUUGAUCUAUCUUCUGUGGAAGUAAGUGAAAAUAUUCCAGUUGAUUUCCAUACAUGAUUUUGCUGUGCAGCACAAAGCACUGGCAAAUUGAUUUAAGUGAGAAUGAAGUCAGUAUUAUCACAGUGAACAGAGCCUAAGGCACCAAUAGAAUUGGUGGCAUUUUUUUUUCCCGCAGCAAUUUAUAUCUGGGUUGAACCAGACUCAAGGUUUCUAGGCUUUUGACUUGUCUGCAGGCACAGCCAAGUUGGUUUUGAAGAUGCAGGCCUGAGCUCCUGCUAUGAAUGCUUAGAGCUCGUGCUUUGUUCUCCCUAAUUCCAUAUCAGAACCUGUUCAGUCCGAAGAGAGGCAGCAGUGAAAGGAUGCUGGCUCACUUCCAGUCCCCUCAUUAGCAUGAGCAGCACAGAUGGAUGUGAGCAUUCAUUAGCACCGAGUUCCCCGGGGAGCACAGAACUUAACAACCAUUUUAGCAGCUGUAUUGAGAACAAAAGCAUGACCCUGGUAAGAGCUUUAUGGUUAAUGUCCUCACUGUGGUUAUAAAUAAAAGCCUUCAUAAGCUGGUAAACAGUUAAGACAGACAUUUGACCUUAACUGUGGUUGGAUUACUGAAUUUGUUUUUCAUUUGAACCUUUGCUCUUGGCAAUGCCGUCAUGUUGUUCUGGUUUUGCAAGUGUUGUAGGUGUUUUAUUCUCUAGAUAGUAUUUCAAUUUUUACUUUAGCUUUUAAUAAAAAAUUGCAUCCCUGACCAUCAAAAAUAAAUUUUCAGGAUGUAUGCUAACAUGUGUUUUUCAGUCAUUAAUUUUACAUCUCAAGGGCAUUGGUAUUUAUCUAGAAAAGAUGGCAAAAAUGUUAGCAUUGAAUUUUACCCUUUUGAAAUAUAUUUUCAGUCCUUUCUUCACUAUUUUAUCUUGACACAUUGUAGUUACCGGGCAUAAUACACAGGCAAAACCAGCUUUUUGUUUAAUGUGUUUUACCUUAAAUCACAAAACAAAACCCAUGUAUUUUGGCUAGUUCAGGACAAUCUUACAUAAACAACAAAAGAUGCUGACUGCUAAAUGAAAAUUUUUACUCCUAGCCAAGAUAAAAACUGUACUUGGAAUUUACUUCAGGUUUCCAAAUAAAAUGGACAAAUUAGUCUUGGAACGUAAUGUAGAAUAUCUGCUUGUUCAGGCUGAUUGUGAUCCUUUCACACACUGAUGAAUUUACUCACUUUAAAAGCCAUCUAUUUGUUUAGACAUCAGACUCUCACAAAAAAUGUGUAGAAAAUAUCUUUGCUGACUUUGAUGUGAACUGGAGCAAGUUAUCUGGUUUAUGGCUUCCAAUCUUUGCCAUCUAGGACUCCCCGCCAUAUUUUUAACUAUUUAGAACCUCUGGAGUAUUUAUAUUGGAUUGGAGCAAUGCACAGCUAGGAUGACAUUUCAAUUCCAUAAAUGAAUUGCCUCUGUAUGUUUAGGCAUUAAAUGUGACUUAGAAUAGCUUUAGGAAACCAAAAGAUGAUUAAUGCAGCUGCCUUACAAAGUUAAGAAUGUUUUAGAAAUACACUCAAAGUAAUUGCUUAUUACUGCUAUUUAAAGCAUCAGAGAACUCCUUUAGAAAGAAUACUACAUUAUCAUGUGGAGGAAGGUUCAGUGUGUUCUUUAAUGUAUUUUCCAUCUUCAAGCUUUCUAGGUUUAAAUAGCAGUGAGAUUUUCUGAAAAGGCUGUGGGUUUGAUCAGCCAGUUUUUUGCACAUUCCAUGGGGAAUGGGAUAAUAGAAUUUAUCCCAUGAAGGUAAUAGUAAAAUUAAAAAGCAGUGUGUAAUUAUUAAUUUAGCAUAAUCUAAUGAAAAUCAGGGUAAUUGUUGAAUAUGAAGAAGCAGAAAAAGGCCUUGCCGUGUUUCUGCCUGCCAAUGUUAUUUUCCAGUUGAACAAUUUGAUUAAAAAAAAAAAUAUAUAUGGACAGAAAACUCCAAGUCUGUACUGUUCCUCUAUAACUCUAGGUUUUGUUCAGUUUCAACAGAAAAUGUUACCUGCAUAUUCAGAUUCUUGUAGAGGUUUGGCAGGAAGGAUUCUCAAAGAAUGCAUGGCCUCCAGCACUGAAGAAUUUACAGUCUCAUACAUAUCUUCUUCCUCCUCAGACAGCUCAGAGGAAAACUGUACAUCACUCUUGCCCUUCAUUGUCAAGUAUUCACCCUGGAUCGAAGAAGAGAUAUACAGAUAAUACAAAUAAAUUUAAGUUCAAGAUUGAUUUCAGCUUGGAAAUAUAUGAUUGCCAUAACCAGACAUUUUGGUGCAUGGGAAAUUUUCUGAUGAAAACUGAAGGGUUGGAAAGUAGUUGAGGAAGUGGUUUGAGUGCCUUAAUUUUAAAUUGAAAUUCAUGAAAUAGCCAUUUGGGAGACAGUUUAAAUGUCUCUCUGAAUUUUGCCUCUCUGCUCUUGAAAAUAUAAUGAAAGUGUUUAAUUUAUGAUCAUUGCACACAUUGAAACGGUAUCUUUUAUUAUAAUAUUAUCCAUGUGGUAUUUGUAUUGUACUGACUGUUUACAUAUGUCACUUGCAAGAAUAUAUUAGCUAGCUCAUCACAAAUGUCAUGCUUCAAAAUAAAAACAUACGGUGUUUGGGGGAAUUUGUGCUGACAAAUGUGCAGUCCAAGUGAUUGUGAUAGUGAGUAUGUAUUGAACGGUGGAGUCCAUGGAAAUAUGGUGCUGAGAGUGACUCAGGAUGUCUCUGGAUGUGUCUUUACACUUGUAGAGGUUUGUUCAAGGUUGUGUUCUAGAGUGCUGCUCCACCCUUCAUCUUCACCAUUUGCUCACUGAAACACAACUGCAGUCUUCCUCCAGCACAGAGCCAAUAUUGCUGCUGAGGAAACUCGACUGAGGAUACCCCAUGCCUCUAGAAGUCAUAUUUUGUUACCAACAGUGUAGGUGCACCCGUGCACUUGGGUCUUCUGUGAUGUUUUGUCUAUUCUCAAAUUUAUUUUGUUCUCAAAUUUAUUCCCUGAUGUUUGUUUUAUUCUCAUUACUAAUGGGGAAUCAAUAGCUUCCUGACGUAUCUUCUUCUGCCAGUUAACUGCCCUUUCUGUUAAUGCUUUUUCUCUUGAGUGCUAAAAUUGAAUCCAGUUUGUUUUACUGUCCAAGGACACUAAACAAAUUGAUAACUAUCUACUUUAUUUCAAACUUUAUAUGCUAAUGCCUAUAAUUAUAUUUAUUUAUUUAUUUAUUCUUCUAAGAAACAAAUAUGCCUUAUUAAAUCUUUCCUAGAUUUUCAACCAACUGAAAAGACUUUGAAUCUCAUAUCCCCAGUGUUACUUUCCUGUGAGCACACUCCAGCUUGUACACCUCUUUGUUACAACACGAGGCAGACCUCCAAGAAGUGUUCUUUACAGUACAUUGCAGGGUGAGAUUUGUCUUUAUGACAGUACAUAAAAAAGUCACCACAGCCUAGACAGACGCUGCAGGGUACCUGGGUUUUCAGGCUCUUCUCUGCACCACUCUUUCCAGUUCAAUAGCAAUACUGUCAGCUAGGCUGAGAGUGGCUAUUUUUUCAAUCAAUUGUGCAAGCAUUUUCACCUAGUUGAAAUAAUUUUCAUCUAACCAGGUAUGUGUUUAUGAGACUGUCUUCUGGGGAAUAUCAGAGGCCUAAUAAAAAGCAAUAUACAACAUAUUUACUGUUUUCCUUCUCAUUAUUGUAGUAAUAUUUCUGCUGAAAAGGAAAUUACUUUUAGUUUGAGUAAUUGAUGAGAUGUUCUUCAUGUCACAUUAACAAUUCUUUACAUAAUCAGACUUAUUAUUUCCAAAAGAUGCUUGUUAUAAUAUUUGUUUAAUAAUCUCUCCAGGUACCAAAUAAAUCCUCAGGAUUUGCUUUCUUUCUUGGAAGAAAAUGUGGUUACAACUAUUAUUUUCCAUAAUUUUAGAAACUCAGGACUCUGGAGAAUUCCCAAAGUGAAUAAAGAUCUCAGAAAUUUCUUAAAUAAUUACUUAAGUGUCUUAGCAUAAGUAAAUAAUUUCCUGACCAUUCUUUCCCCAUUCUGCUCUGUUAUGUGUUUGCCUUUUAUUUGGUAUUAAUCCCAUAUAGGAACUGAUUGUUAUUAAUCAUUCUGUGAAAUCUGAAGCUGUCCAAGUAUUGAUUGCAUCAAAUUUGUUAAGUCAUCCUUCAUUUGUCCAGCUUGUUUGCUAAAACAUAGACCUGUGCUUUAUUUUCAUCUUUUUGUGAUUUAAAAGGUAUUUACACUUUUUUUAGAUGCCUGAACUGAAACUCAAACCCAGAUUUCAAAUACAAAUGGAAAGACACUGAAAUAUGUUGUUUGCUUUUCAGCUUUCAUUUGUAUUGCUUGCCUAUUUAAUCUUGAGGUUUAUGACUUAUAUCCUUGUUUAGCUUGACUCCUGUUAUUUUUACUUGAUCUUAUGAUAAAGGUGUAUUUUAGAUUCAGCCCAUAAAUGGAGAAUUGGUGAGUGAGUCACUUCUCCAGUCUAGAUCCCACUAAAAAAAGAGAAAAUGUUCUCAUCUAUAUUUCACAAUUCUUAUGCCUUAUUUUGCAUUAAAAACCAGUGAUGAUUGCAUUUAUGUUAGUAUUAUAGCUGAGAUGAUAUUAACAUACAUCAGGAAGUGAAAAAAAGGUAAAAUUUUAGGAAGAACAUAUGGUACUUACAGAAUGAGAGGUGUUAGCAGGAAUAGUUCUCUUUUCUGUAUGAAAUGGAGAAAAGCUGUCAGCAGGUCCCAUUCUAUUGUGAAUUAUACAGUAGCUAGUAACGUAUAUAAAGGCAUAAAAGUCUGCCAACCGCAGAUUUGAGAGUAUUUAUUUACAGUAUUUUAGAGAGAUGGAAAAAAGGACAUGAAGCAGGUCCACCCAGGAGUUUGUGGAUCUACACAACGCAUGAGGAAGUAGCCAUGUGGAAGUGGGACUCACAGUCAUGGGCGUGUCUAAGCCCGCCCACCAAAAACACCCAAAGAAGGAUGUGCUAGAGCUCCCCUUUCUCUCCUGAGUUUUGCUUCUUGGUGCAGAACUUUGAUAUCUGUGGGACUCCUGGUCUGGAAAUCCCUCUGUGAGUAGAAACGUGUUUUGUUCUCUCCGUAGCAGAAGAAAAUCCCAAAUCUGAGAACAGUCCAGCUAUCAGGCUGUUCUCGGUGGUCUUUGUCUGCCCGUGAAGCUGUUCCACGGUACAGCCAGGAGAGCAUGAGCUACAGGGUCAAAGAGCUGGUGAGCAGAGACUCCCAACUUCUGCACUUAACCUGAUUUACACGUUUAACCCAGUGACUUUUUAAUGCAAAACAGCCAUGGUACGGCCUUGCCCAGUAUGUGCUCUCAUUCUGGACUGUUUCAAUCCUUUCUUAGGCUGCCUUUAACCUCACAAAUCUUGCAUCUUUGGCUGGCUACAUAAUGGCCUGAUUUCAAAAGUAGAGCAUGAAAGUCCUUCUCUCAAGACCAACAAAUAAGAAAUAAUUACCGUGUGUAGUAAUGCUUAGAAGACUACUUUUCCAGGGGUUGUACCCCAUGACUGAAGGGUGUUAAGGACAGCCAGCAUCCCACAACCCUCCCUUACAGCUGUGUUUCGGAAGAAGCAAGUUUCUGUAUGAACACCCUCUUUGCAUUUGUAACUCUCAUCCUGUGAGCCUGGUAUUGCAUAUUUUUAUGUACUCCAGCAGAUGGCAUUGAAUGUUCAUUUAUUCAAUAUAUGUAGUACUUUCAUCUCUACUGGGAGGAUCAUUCCUGGGUGACAGGGGAGGAGUUCAUGCAAGCUACUUGUCUGAUUUUCUGUUUACUUUUACGGUUGCUAAUCAAAGUUAGCCCUGUUAAAGGUUGUACCACGAUAAUACUAAAAGAGGCAAUGACUUAAUUUGUAGAUUUUGUACUUCUGCUCAUAAAAAGAAUGUGGUUGAUUUAUCCUCAACAAAAAAAAAGAGAGUAAUGGUGAUAAACAUCAAUGCUAUUGCCCCUGCAUUUAGUGGCUUAAUGCUAAAAGGGGACUGUUUAUCACAAGCCUUUGGGGUGAUGUACUGCUAUCCAAUAUCAGUUUACAAUUUGAUGUCCAGGUAAGUUUAUCAUCUCUUCUGGUAUGCAUGACUCACUGGAGUUGGGAUGAACUCCAUCUGCCUUCUUUCUUCUCAGGCCUUCUUGGCACUGGACCAGGACCAGUGAAGGGAGCAGCACUGGUGCUGCUUUUCCAUGGGUCUGCCCUCUACAUAAGGUAACUGCCCAAAUAUUUGCUCUGUGCUAGCUGAGGAGUACAAACCAGUGAGAAACCACUCUUCCUGUUAUUUAAGAAUAUAAUUUUCAUAAUGACGAUAGUAGCUGCAAUCAGCUGGACCUUCUGGCAUAAUUUUUUUCACUGCAAGCUAAAGAUUUAAAACUGGCACAGGCUAGAGUCUCCUCAAGCUAUAGGGACUCGUCAUGUUUUAUUCAGUCUGAAAAUUUUUCAUUGCUUUGCUGCACUGCCUGUGAAAUUGAUAAAUAGAGACUAUCAGUUAUAUUAAUAGUAAGGUGUUAUAUUUCUGUGGCAUACAUGUGGGUGUGUUUCUGCCAGUUAAAGGACAAAAUGGAAAAAAUUAUCUUCUCUUUAAUUUGCAGUGGAAUAAAACUGUGUGUAUAUUUUGCGGCAACCUUGACUUUUCAUGGUGACCUAAAAAAAUUUUGUUUAAAAGGGUGACAGGUUAGGAAUUUCUACACAAAACCCAACAUUAAAAACAUAGCCCUUUAAUUGGGAAAACAGAAGGUAAAUCUGUUCCCAUUGGCUUCUCUGAAUCUAUGAAUGCACAGUGGUCUUUUUAGUCACUGUGGUGUUUCAGCCAGUGGCAGAAAGUGAUAAAGAAUUGUGGGUUGUGAUUUAAUAAACCCUGUGAUCCUCUAAGGGUGUGUCCUAAGCACUUCAGUAGAAAAAGCCCUGAAGCUGGAAAUGCUGCAAGGAAGAGCUCUGUAGACAUUUUCACAGUCACUUUUUUUACUGUCUUGCCCAAAAUUAUGGUGCAAAACCUUGUCCUGUUCAGGUAUACAGGCAUCUUCUUAAAGCAUAUAGAGGGGCUAGGCAAACAAGCUUCCUGAAUAAUAUAGUUUUAGUUGGAGUACCAAGUAAAAGAUUAGGCAGGUUUCACUUCAGAAACAUGAAAAAGGCAUGUGAAUAAAUAUCGAUUUUGGUAGGCAUUUGGGCUAAGGCCAGCUAUCCACAACAAUAAAAGAUUUGCAGUUAGAUGAUAGAUUGCUGGAUUUUAUUUUUCCCAGAACUGCUUUUUCCAGCCCUAAAUUAAAAUCUUCUAUAUUAUAUGGAUAUUGAAUGCAUUUAAGCAAACUUCACAUAACACUAUAAACAUAUGGUACAUCAAAUAAAUUUAUCUGGCUAGUUGUGCCUCUUUUUAGUUAGAUAAUUUUAUAUACUUGGCAUUAAAGGUCUCAGCUCAGCUACAGUUGUGAACUGCAGUUUCAUUUACAAGGAACUGAAGUAAAUGCAGUGAUUUACUUUUGAAAUUAAUGUAUUUUAAACACAUGCUUGUUACUGACCAUAAUCUGCCAUGGAAACAAAUUUAGAGAUCCUAAGUCAUUGUUUUCUUGUUUUUGGAACAGCAAACAGCAAAAAAGAGGAGAGCCCUUCAAAGGUAGCAGCAGAUGGAAAAAGAAAGUUCCCUCAGUUGCUUUCUAGAAGCCAUCAGCCAAGCUAAUAUUUUCAAUCUACAUCUAAAGAAUAACUUAUUUCUGGCUUUUUGCCAUGUAUACCAUCAUGAAACCAAAUAUUUUUUUUGGGCACAGUGGAAGUAAAUACCUUUUUGUUGUCUGCCUUAGUGGAUAUCCCUUUAGUGGGUAUCCAUUAAUUUUAAUUUUUCUACUAAUUCAUUUUCAUUUUUAUGAUGUUAAAAUAUUCAGAUCUAUCACAGACUUUUACUGUCUCUGAAUAAGAAGUAGGCUACAUAGACAUGCUACCAUACUUCCUUUUUCAGUAGUGAAAGAAUGUUACCUUUCAGAUGAAUAUUUGGAUUCAUUACUUCAUGUAUGUUUGGGCAAGAUCUAAAUACAGAAAAAAAGAAAAAAAUCCACUUAAUUAAAUUUUAGAAAUUUCCAUUGUUCUGUGAAACUUCUCAAAGAGUCCAGUUUAAAUUAAUGAGUGAAAGCUGCAAGGAUAAUAAGUGAUUUGAGAAAUGACUUUGCAGAUUUGGAAAUUCAACAAUCUUGGGUCAAACCUUACGUUUUUGUUCACUUACAGCUACAAGUUUUUUGCAGAGAGCUCUAGUAAUUUUUCAAACAUUCAUUUUAGACAUAAAUAUUGCAACAGCCUUAUUGUUGUUUUACAUAUUCAGUUUAUUAUUGGAGGGAUGAAUUUCCUUAGAGAGAUAGGAGCUAAAACUCUCUUUCCACAUGCAGCUGUGCCACUCCACAUGGCUCCCUUCCCAUUCUGCCAAAUUAGUAUAACACUUUCCCUAGACCUGAUGUGGUAUUCUUCCAUCCUGCCAUUCCUCUGCCAUGGAGAAUAUAUGAGAUAUAUUGGGUGUGGAAGAACCACAUAAGCCUUACUCUGGUGUUGGUUCUCUCACCAUGACCCUCUUUACCCACUGGACUGUAGCUCUGUGUCAGCCUGUCCAGCAACAUUUGUGGAUCAUUGCAGUAGCAGUACUUAGUAUUCAGAAGCAACAUCAAAAGCUAUUUUGCAAUGAAGAUUUGACCAGGGAUCACAUUAAGACUGCAUUAAUGCAUACUCAUUUUAUCUAUAUCUAAGCAUCCACCCUUGGAAUUGCCUAAAGUUUGGGAAAUACCACCACAAAUCUCAGAGUUUCAACUAGCUCACUCUUAGAAUUACAAAAUAAUUUAGAUUAGCAGCAGCUUUUGAGCACAGGGUGAAGCUGAGUGCUUUCUUGUUCAGGGAGCAAGCUGUAUACCACACAAGAGUGUACUAGAGUAGUGUGUGAUAAUAGCAUGGACACAUCAAUAAUAAAACUUUUAUUUAUAUCACUUAUCAGUGAUUUAAAAAAUAAUUUAUUUACUUACUUAUUUUUUGGCAAAGCUGUUUUCCUGCUGUUUGAAUCUGCUGGAUGAUAUUCUACUAUUUUUCUGUUGGCUCUGACAGAAUUGAACAAAGUUUACUGUUAGCAACAAUAAGUGGGGAAGAAAUGCAAGUGCCAGCAGAGCUCCAAAACUAAGUUUCAAAACUUUUCAAUGCACAUAUGCAAGUUAUUACCUUCUUCUCUACCUCAAACAUUUUUGUUCUCUGAAUAUUUUCCUGAUUUUUUUUUUUUUUUUUUUUUCCAGCUCUUUGGAAAAAAGAGCAACAAUUUCCUGCAGAGGGAAUGAAAGGCUGGAAACUGAAUUCCUGCAUCCACUGUUUUGGUUACAUUAGAAUAGGGUACUUUUGGAACUCCACUGAAUAGGAAUUAAAACACAGAAGCACACAUCCAAGAUCUCUGUUGUUGGUGAAAUAGUUGCUAAACACCAGUGGUGUAGAUACCAAAACAACAGAAUUCAGUUCUCUUGGCCUCUCUACUUCUGACUUGGUCCUCUCUUAGAAGAAAGAACUCCUUAUUUUACUCAGGUGAAAUAAUAUUGAUUUAUAAAUCCUUGAAAUGAAAACUGAGAUGAUUUCUAAUUUUACCUUUUGACUACUGGACAUUUCAGUGUUUUCAGCAAAAGGAGUUAGGAUUAUCUCACAGAUAAUUCCUACAAGUGAAAAGGUGGUCAUGUCCUUUUGGACCUACCCAAACCCAUUUAAGUUGAUAGAUCCUAUAAUCAGUGUUGGCAAAUCUGGUUUCAGUUUUUCUUUACAAACAUGCUUCAAAACCUAUUUGAAACAAACAACCAAACAACCAAACAACCAAACAAAAACCACCCACACAUACACAAUUUAGUCAAUAUUUAAAUGCACACAUCGCUAAUGAUUUUUUCUGUCAUGUUAGACAGUUUAUUAUGGAAAUACUAAAGGGCAUAAAUGCAAAGAUGCAAAUUUUAGAAGAAAUGCAAGAUAUGUUUAUUUUCAGCUGUGGAUUUAGCAGGAGAGGUAUGCUUGAGUAGUUGCUAUAGCUAUAGAGGAUUUUGGAUAAGUGGUUAAAUCUGUACUGCAGUGAUAUGUUUCUGGAGCAUAUGGAAUAUGAACAGGUAACUGAUUUCUGUCAUCUUAAUGCUCUUUAUAAUUUAAUGUAUAAUUUUUUGUCUUUUAAAAGAACAGUUUCAUACCUUGCAAAACUCUUGCUCCAGCUCCCCCAAGGCAGUCUGUAUUACAAAUGCAAAAGGCUGUUGCAUGAGCAUUAUACGUACAGUGAACAUAAUUUUUGUGUGUUUGAAUUUACUUCAUUCCUCCCUGCCCCUUCCUGUGGCAAAUUUCCCAACACGACCUUCUGCAGAUUGUCCUUUGCCUGCAGCAAGGAAUUGCUUUAGUCUCUUUGGUAGUUUUUGUCUCCAUGUGAGAUGCAGCACUGAGGUUUUACUGGUAUCUCUGUGAGUCCAUCAGAACUACAUACACAUUACUGGUGACUAGUAGCAUAAAUGGCUCAGGAUUUAUCAGAAACUUAUCAUGGCUGAGGCCAUGGGGACACUUAGGACCUUCUGAAUGUUCUAUGUUAAUAAAAUCCUUACUUUGCAUAAAAAGUAUUUUUCAGCACUUUUGCUUUAAAAUGUUGGAGUGCUAUUUGUUUAAAUGCCCAUAUUUAAUUAUAGGGACAAAGCAUCUUUUCUUCACAGAAUUUUCCUCAUUCUCUGGUCAACACUAUAGCAACAUUGUUUCCUCCUGCAAAAAUGUGGGGCUUUCUUUAAUGCAGUUUAGGACACUUUCACCUCUUUUUACUUAAACAAAAUGCAGAAUUAAAUUUAGCUGGGUAUGUUCUGUAAGUUUUUCCAUUUAUGAUACUCAUACCAGGCUGACCAGAUACAAAAUCCUAAGCUGUGUAUUUGUGAUCGGGCAGACUGGUAGCACAGACAGAGCAGCAACUCCUCUCACGAUUCAAGUUACAUUAUGUAUGGCCAGAAGUUGUACUGGGGAGAAAAAGUGAGGAUAGACUUCAUUUUAGGCAAUGAUUGACUCAUAUUUAAAUGCAGAUCAAUUUUAAUGGAGCACCUACAGAAAUAGAAAUUACAUUUACAUUAAAGUCGACUGAAUUAAUCUUGAUUGUUCUGUUGCAAUGUUAUGAUUAAUUUAUGAUGAAUUGGCUGUAUAAAAGUGUCUGUUUUAAAGAUCUUAUAAUUUCCAAGAACCAUGAAAUUAUUAGGUAAAUUUUAAGAUACUCCAUUUGAAAGUUUAUUUAUUUCACAGCAUAUAAGGGGAUUGUUACCAGAGUAAAUUUUAUGUGUUUGGAAUAAAAGUUGGCUAAGUACAGAUAAUUAAAAGAGACAAAAGUCCAUUUUCCCUUAUUUUGACUGUCUUUUUUUUUCUUCUGUUUCAACAGUGAAACAACAAGAAGAAAAGUAGUGAUCAUAUCUACUAGCUCUUCUCUGACUGCAAUACUUUGCAUGUAAUGCUGAAAUAUUGCCUGAUGUUUUGUUCAAUCAGUUUCUACUUUGCAAAGGCUCUGCUGUAUUCAUGUCAAAUCCUUCUUCAUGACAGACUGUAAAUUGCCUAAUCUGGCUCAAAAUACCCAGAAUUGCUUAAACAUCAUUUUAGUUAUUUGGUUUUAUUGUUACUUAUAUUUACAGUUAUUUGCAUAUUAAUUUGGUGUUGCAGAUAUGUUUGAGAGCUCCUGUCAUGGAACAAUCUUCCUGUGACAGAUGAGUCACAAUUGUAAAAUUAGUCCCUGUCCAAAGGAUGCAUAAACCAAGGGAAAACAGGUGGAUGCAACUGAAAAAUGGAGAUAAAACAAGAAGCUGAAGGUAAAAUGAGUUUUUCUAGAAGGAAAGGAAUAAAACAUGGAGCAUGCAUCUCUGUGCUCCAUGAAUGUAGACAUCUAAAGAGGGUCAGUCCCCAGUUUGAAAAACAGGCACCUCUCAGGUCUGUGGAGAGAGAAAACCUCAUUUGUAUUUCAUAUUUGCAUUUUGAUUACUCCUAUUGAAAGAGGUCAGUAUUAUAUUUUAUCAGCUACUUAAUACAACAAAAGGAUCAUAAUAUUUAGCACUCUGAUUAUAUCAAUCCAUGGCUUAAUGCUAUUUUCUAAAUAAAUUGUUGCCAGGGUGGCUAUUAAAGGAUGCUCUCAUUCAGAAACCAUCCUGUUUCCUGAAACAGCUACCAAAGGUGGAAUGUGCACCACACAUGUCAGUGUGAUUGGACUUUGGGGCACUUGGCAAUCACAAGGUCCUUCAGUUACAUGGUGGUUUGAAAGUGCAUUGUACAGCUCAUUUUGUCUUCUGGUCACAUCUAUGUCUGGAGGUACUUUUACUUAAUAGCAGGGUUUGGGUUGGGAGGAGGUUUAGACACCUCUGCUGCAGACUGGAUUAAGCAAAACUGCAGUCAGGAGGGAAGAAGUAACUGAAGUAGUUUAAGUCUAACAACAGUUAACAUAGUCAAGAGCUUCUAAGGAAGUGCACAGAAGAGAGUUCACUUGUGAAAAUGAUACCUGCAAGUCAGAGGGAUUAGGAACCUGGCUUGAUUGGGCUAGGUCACUCUCGAAGACAAGCUUGGAUUUCAAAGUUGGCUGAACACGGGUGUGCCUUUCUGUUUUGGAUGCCUGGUAUAUUCUGCCUGGCCUGAGAUGCUGCUCAAGAGGGCAUUAGUUCUUUUUCAGAUCUUGGCUUGAACUUCUUUGGCUGGUGCCUGUGAGUUUAGACACCUCAAAGCAGGGUCUGAAAUUUUAGCUUGAUGAGCAGGGAGCUGCCUCGAGCUAGCAAAGAGCAGCUGCCUGAAAUGAGUCUUGGUGGCUGCUCAGGCUGCAGAGGAGGUCCAGCCAGUGCUGCAGUACACAGCUGGGAGCAUUGGGAAGACACUUUCCUCUGAUGAAAAGUGAGGGAUAGCUAUCCACCAUUCUUUGUAUGAAAUAAUCUAAUAUUCAGAGAAGGUGUUCAGCUUUGUACUUUGUACUGUGACCAUAACUGUGUCUUGCUUAGAUAAUUGUUCUGCACUGAAAAGAAAAGAGGUGCAGGAACCCAGUGUGAGCUCCUGUGCCCCAGCUGGGCACCUUCACCCCUUGGAUCUUCCCUUACAGUUGGCUUAUGUGCUGAAGAAGGAGGGGAUGUUUCUGCACAGUGCCUGGGCAGGUGACGAAAGCUUCUCACCAGAAUACCCUGCACCCUGUGGAUGCUAUUCACAAAGAGAAAUUGGAUCUCCCAAAGGUGGGCCCAAAUGUUCCUGUUCCUGAACGCUGUAACUACAUGCAGAAGGACAACAUGAGAGUAUUGGAGAGGCACAGUUACCUCCCUAGGUAUGUCAGAUAUUUUUGCUGCAAAGGCUCUGGUUGGGAUGGAGUUAAUUGUGCUGAGAGCAGUCUGUUGGGUGCUGGGCUGUGGAUCUGUGACCAGAGCAGUGCUGACAACAGACUGUGUUUUGGCUGUUGUUGGCAGUGCUUGCACAGCACCAAGGCUUUCCCUUUUUCCUGUUCUGCCCUCCCAGUGAGAAGGCUGGGGGUGGGCAGAGGCUGAAGUGGACAAAGCUGUCACAGCUGACCCCAGCUAACCCUAAGGAUAUCCCACACUGCACAGCAUGUGCUCAGCAAAACAAAAAACAAAGCCAAAAAAUCCCAAACCCAAGUGAGGUUUUUUUUUUUUUUUUUAGGAAAACAGCCACUGCUCAGUGAUUGCCAUCACACCACUUGUUUUGUUUCAGGGUUUUUUCUUUUUCUUUUUCUUUCCUUCACUUACUAAACUGUGACUAUCACAACCCACAAGUUUCCUUAUUUGCUUUCCAUCUUUUCGUGCCAGGGGUAGCCUGCUGCAGACACAGCAGCAGGUAGGAAUUUCAGGAAAGGAGGGGAGAGCCAUUUGACCUUUCAGCUGAUCACAGGGGGCUCAGGCUCACAGUUUUGACACUGACAUAUAAAUAUCAUCCAGGUCCAAGGCAAAGGCAUGACCACUUUUAUCCACUUUUAUAUAAUCCCAACUACUGCCUAAAAUGGCGCUUUUUUGUUCUUUUAAUUUUUAAAGGUCAGCUUUAUGAAUCAGUAAUAAGAUCAUCCAUGGCAACAUUGUACUCACUAUUGUGACUUAUAAUAAAUACUCCAUAAAACAUGUGCUCUUCUGAUUACUACACUUAAACUACUAUAGUCCUCCAAGUGUGCCACGUUGGAGAAUACUUGUUCUGUUCCUUUUACCUAAAAUAAAUGCUAGGAACAUAAUACCAAAUAUUAAAGGGUCUAUUGUGUUAGCAAAAUUAUGUAACUGACCACUUGCAAAACUAAUUAAAAUUUAUGAUUGGCACAAUUAAUUUGGAUUCUUUUCUUCCUAAAAGAGUGCUCUAGGUUUCCCAGGCAACCUGUAAAAUGCUAUGUGUAAAUAUAGAAAGCAAUCCACAUGCUAUCAGUUCAGAUAACCCCACAGAAACAGAAGCAUUUUGAACAGCAAUUAACUAUUGUACUGGUUAAAUUCAGAUUUUAGAAAUGUCAAACAGAAACAAGACACUGUAGUGCCAAACUGCAGUAACAAGCUGCAAAGUGGCAACUCCUUGCAAGAAUCAUAAUCACUUGGAUUGAAAGGGACCUUAAGGAUUAUCUAGUUCCAUCCAACCUGCUCUGGGCAGGGACAGCUUCCCCUAGACCAGGAUACCCAGGACCAAUCAACCUGACCUUGAACACUUCCAGGAUUGGGCAUUCACAAAUACUUAAUGCAUUUCAGUGCCUCACUACACUCACACUAAAAAAUUUCUUUCUAAUAUUGAAUCUAAGCUUGCUGUCUUCAGUUUGCAGCCAUUUCCCCUCAUGCCCUUGUGAAGGAGUCUCUCUCCAUUUUCCUUGUAGGCUCCCAUCAGGUACUGGACAGCUGCACUGAGGCCACCCCAAAGCCUUCUCUUCUCCAGGCUGAACAAUCCCAAUCCUCUCAGCCUUUCCUUAUGGGAGAGGUGCUCCAUCCCUCUGAUCAUCCUGGUGGCCUCCCCUGGGCUUGCUCCAGCAGGUCAAUGUCCUUCCUGUGCUGGGGACUCCAGAACUGGCUGCAGAACUCCCACAUACAAAAUUGUCGAAGAUAUUGAGACUAGCUUUAUCAGGGAAUCAAGUUCCUGGUGAAUGUUAUGAAUGCCACUUCUCUAGUGCUGGUUAGUGUAAGUAUUCAGGCUGACAGAAUACACUUGUUUCUUUUCGUGUUACAGUAUUGUCUCAUGUGGAAAUGUUGUAAUGAAUCCUAGCCAGGUGACUUUUCACUGGAUGAGAGGAAGGGAGAACAAAUGGUAAGCCACUGUAGCUGAAGUAAAGGUUGACACUCUGCUAAGGUAUGUUUCAAGCCCAAAGCUUGCAAUUUUCAGGAGGGGAAAAUAUUUCACUCAGUCUCAAUUCAAAUACUGACAGAGACUUCUCCUUUUAAGCCAUUGCCCUUCUGAAACUGAUAUUUGGUCUUUCUGGUUGUCCAUGACACCAAGCCUUGCAAAGAAAUGCCAGGAAAAUAUUCAGUGUUUGGCAUGGUUUUCUUCCCACAACUUUUGUACUGAGUCAGAUCAAACAUAUUCACACAGCAUACACACAGGAGUAGUAUGGGUCAUUUCAAGCCAAAUGCUGCAAUAUAAUCUGAACCAACUGGCAAAUCUGAACCACAAUAAUUAUCAUAAAACUGAUGAUUAUUGGGGAGGUAUGUAAUGAAAACUUUGCCUCUGAAUAAAGUGGUAAGAACAAUGAUCCUGCCCCCUCCUUGCAUAACCCUUCCUGUGUGUUUCCCUAAUGGUAUGCAUUGCACAAGGCAGUAUCAUUGCUUAAUAAUAUAUAUAAUUGCUUGAGCAUAGCAUCUCUCACCUCAAGUCCAUACAUUUGAGACCAACCUGCUUUUAAAGAAUCCCCAGCAUAUUGGAAGGGACUCAUAAGAAUGAUCCAGUUAAACUUCUGGACCACAGCACAACCCAAAUUUAAUCAGGUUCCUAUAGGUUGGUAUUGCAUACAAUUAGAGAUGUUAUACAAGAAAGGUCUUGUAAAAUCAGGCCUUGCUCUGCUAAAUUACCAGCUGGUCUGUUACUUCUUCUAAGUGCAGCUAGCUAACAAUCCAUGUGAAAAAAACAUAAAAAUGAAAGAAGUUAAUACAACAAGCUGUUAUGGAAAGAAAACUGUUUGCACCUGUAAUAAACAAGAAAUCUAUUCCAUGGGAAUCAGUGAACAAAAUAUGUAAACUAACCAAAUAUAGAGAGAUUUGACAGUUGUACACCCUGGCCAUUUACCAGCCAAUGAACUGAGUGUCAAUGCAUGGUUAUCCAGUUAGGUCUAUCAGUGCCUAUUGAUAUUUCCUAUAAAUAAGAGCUUUGUGAAUAAAGAAGGGGAUUUUUCUGCAAGAAGAAACUGAGUCUCAUCUGCUUUAUUGCAAGAGUCUGAACUACUGGUAAGUUGCCAGGCAGUGAUUGGCGGGCUGAAGAGAUGUUGUCAGGCAAGACAGGGGCUGUGGGUACCUGAAGGGUAACCACAGAUAUUUGGCACUUGGAAGAAUACUGCUGGGAUGCCUGGCUACCUGUAAUUACCAUUCAUACCACUCUUCUUGCUUAUGCCAAGCAUUUUCUUAUCUAAAAUAACAGCUCUGCCAUGGCACAGUAUAGAGCAGAGAGAUUAGGCAAACAGUGGAUUGAAAUAGAAAUGCUUAUUAAGAAUGAAUAAAAAUUGUCUCUCAGUAAGUUUUGCUAAACUCACCAAAAAUCAUGUAUUUUAUGAGAAAAUUAGUAAGACUACAAAAGAACCAAAUCUAUCAUGUGGACAGGGUUUUCACAUUUUCCAGUCUAAGCAGGUAAAUACUAAACUGAGUGGACAUGACUGAGGGAAUUCUUUAUGCAUGUAAAGUGGUUUAUAAUAACAUAAUAACAGUAAAAAAGAUGGUUUUGAAGAACUGGUGGUUUGUGACCAUAGAAAUGGAAGUCACUGAAUUAAAAUGCUUCAUUUGAAUUUGUUCCUGGGAUGAUAUUAACACUUUGUAGAGGCUUAGGGUUGCAUCACUAUGACUACACUAAUUUUUGCAUUCCCUGGCUUCUGUGCAAACCUUUGAGAUAUUUCACCUCUAAAUCAUAGAGGAUUUCUUCUGGAAUGAAAAGCAAAGGUGUGAAUGGGCAACAAAUGUGCUUUAAUUUUCAUGAAGAUCCUUGUAAAAACAACGGUCUCAGAAGACACAAAAUUUGAAAACAUGCCAUCUAAAGAUAAUUCUACCUACAGUGUAUGUCUUUCUGAAUCUUCAUAUAUAUUCUAAAAAUUAUUUUCUCCUUUUUCCUUCUCAUAAGCAGCAUAGUUUUCAGAUUUUUUCUGUGUUGGUACCUACCAAGUUAUUUUUACUCCUAAAGUUUGUACAGCAGAAUAUAUCACUGAUCUCUGUCCCUGCAUCUUGUAAUGAAGAGUGCAAAUCCCUAUUCACCUGGGGAAGUCAGAGGGGAAAAAUAUUUGACUUCUUAAAUCUCUCACUAGUCCUUGAAAUCCUGCCAGACAUUUUGCUUCAUGUGAAAAUGGAAGUUAAAGACAUCUAGUUGUCAACUACUUCCACUCAGCUAGGGAAUACCAAGGAUUCCCAGCCUCAGUAGUCAGAGGAGUUUAUUAUCUCCCUCUUCCAUGGAUAAGCAACAUCCUGGGAGCAAACAAGAAGUCAGGCAGAUGAUCUCGUGUCUCGGAGGAUGGGUGCCAGAGAACCUCAGGGGUGCUGUCAGUGCAUGCACAGCUCUUUCUGGCACAUAACAGAGGCCAGAGUCUGGCAAUCUGCCCCACAGCCCCAGGCAAAUGUCCUGUUUCAGCAGAUAUUUGACUUAAGAGCUAAGUGCCUGCAUCAAAACUCCCUCCUCAUUCCCGUUAUGUUGAUGGUUUGCUGCUUCUCUACCACAGUAAAUCAUAAAACAACCUGAGCCUACCUACUGCAUAUGACAGGCAAGUAACAAGGUAGAACUUGAAGAAAAUGCCAUUUCUGUUCUUCCUUGCUACCUGCUGUCAGGAAGGAGCUAGCAGGUAAGCAGCUUUUAAUUUGAUUUCACUUUCUUUGAGUCAAGGUGGACUAAUCUGCAUAUAAAUGUAAUAAUGUAAGUCCUUGAUCCCUCCCUCACAGACACAGAACACAGACUAAAAUAUGACUGUUAUUAUCCGGGGAGAAUAAAAUUACCCUGCCCAAGGUUGGAGAGAAAUAUAUAUCUAGUGAAAAGAGCAGGGUACAGUGAAGCACUCCACAGCUACUGGCCUCUAAACCUAUAUCCACAUCCUUAGUAUCUGUGAAUCCAACAGUGUCAUACUGUAUUUACAGGUUGCCAAUGAAAUCCAGUUUAUGGGAGGAUAAAAGUGAUUGCUCCAAGUGUUAUAAAAGGAAUGGCUUCCAUGCUGUAUUAGAGGAAAAGAGACACUGGCAUUUCCUAAACACAAAUUUCUUCAGGGAGAACAACAAACCAUAAACCAGUGGUUUCUUCAGGGGAUUUCUGACUGGAAAACUGUAUUUAUUAAUUAUAUGUAAAUUUCAUAAUGUUUUGAUGUCUUGAUUUAGCAAUCUGUAGAACUUGCACUGAAAAUCAAAUGUAAGAAAUGCUUAAUUUGGGAGAAAGUGAAGAGACUUUGUGGAAUAGAUUAUAUUUAAUUAUUUAAACAUUCACAUCACUCAGAUUGGGGUCUUAAAAUAUAAAUUACAUGGC